GACGAACGCUGGCGGCGUGCCUAAUACAUGCAAGUAGGACGCAGUUGCGAACGGGUGAGUAACGCGUAGGGAAACACCCCCAACAGGGGGAGAACUAUUGGAAACGAUAGCUAAUACCGCAUACUCGUAGAUGGACCUGCGUUUUAUUAGCUAGUAGGUAGGGUAAGGGCCUACCCAGGCAACGCUACAUAGACGAGCUGAGGAGGUGAUCGGGCACACUGGGACUGGGACGCGGCCCAGACUCCUACUGGAGGCAGCCAGAGGGGAUUUUCCGCCAUGGGAGGAACCCUGACCCAGCAACGCCGCGUGAGUGAAGAAGGUUUUCGGAUCGUAAAGCUCUGUUGGUAAGAAAACGGUACUUAACCAGAAAGGGACGGCUAACUACGUGCCAGCCGCCGCGGUAAUAC
rnacentral:rRNA from 1 species